AUUGAACGCUGGCGGAAUGCUUUACACAUGCAAGUCGAACGGCAGCACGGACUUCGGUCUGGUGGCGAGUGGCGAACGGGUGAGUAAUAUAUCGGAACGUGCCCAGUCGUGGGGGAUAACGUAGUGAAAAUUACGCUAAUACCGCAUACGAUCUAUGGAUGAAAGCGGGGGAUCGCAAGACCUCGCGCGAUUGGAGCGGCCGAUAUCAGAUUAGGUAGUUGGUGAGGUAAAGGCUCACCAAGCCGACGAUCUGUAGCUGGCCUGAGAGGACGACAGCCACACUGGAACUGAGACACGGUCCAGACUCCUACGGGAGGCAGCAGUGGGGAAUUUUGGACAAUGGACGCAAGUCUGAUCCAGCCAUUCCGCGUGCAGACGAAGGCCUUCGGGUUGUAAACUGCUUUUGUACAGAACGAAAAGGUCUCUAUUAAUACUAGGGGCUCAUGACGGUACUGUAAGAAUAAGCACCGGCUAACUACGUGCCAGCCGCCGCCGUAA
rnacentral:rRNA from 1 species